rnacentral:rRNA from 1 species
GAGCCCUACGGGAGGCAGCAGUGGGGAAUAUUGCACAAUGGGGGAAACCCUGAUGCAGCGACGCCGCGUGAGUGAAGAAGUAUUUCGGUAUGUAAAGCUCUAUCAGCAGGGAAGAAAAUGACGGUACCUGACUAAGAAGCCCCGGCUAACUACGUGCCAGCAGCCGCGGUAAUACGUAGGGGGCAAGCGUUAUCCGGAUUUACUGGGUGUAAAGGGAGCGUAGACGGUGAUGCAAGUCAGAAGUGAAAGCCCGCGGC